UACGUAGGGUGCGAGCGUUGUCCGGAAUUAUUGGGCGUAAAGAGCUCGUAGGCGGUCUGUCGCGUCGGAUGUGAAAACUCGGGGCUCAACCCCGAGCCUGCAUUCGAUACGGGCAGACUAGAGUUCGGUAGGGGAGAAUGGAAUUCCCGGUGUAGCGGUGAAAUGCGCAGAUAUCGGGAGGAACACCGGUGGCGAAGGCGGGUCUCUGGGCCGAUACUGACGCUGAGGAGCGAAAGCGUGGGGAGCGAACAGG
rnacentral:rRNA from 1 species